ensembl:snoRNA Snord69 small nucleolar RNA, C/D box 69
AACAUGAAGCAGUGAUGACAGAUUGGAUCUGACUUAACUGCUGUGCUGAGUUUGUUCAAUCCAACCCUGAGCUUCAUGUU